GGAAUUAUAAUUUAAUUGUUAAAAUAUUAUAUUGUCGUUAUAAAAAUAUGAGUUAAAGUCUCAUUAAUUUCGU
rnacentral:tRNA from 1 species